GUCUGGGCGUCUGUUCAUAUUUUGAAAUUUUUAGUGACUCCUAAACCCGAAAUCGUGAUACGAGGGAUAGAGAAGUAUGGAAACAGGCACUGUUAAAUGGUUCAAUAAUGCAAAGGGCUUUGGAUUUAUUUGUCCUACCAGCGGAGGUGAAGACAUAUUCGCUCACUAUUCAACCAUUCAGAUGGAUGGUUAUAGGACGUUGAAAGCAGGACAGAAAGUGAACUUCAAUGUUCAUCAAGGCCCU
rnacentral:sRNA from 1 species